UAAUCAAUGAGCUAAUAUCUUAAAGCUUAUGAUUUUAUCUAUCUACUCAUGAUUUAAAAACAAUUAUAAAUGAUUUAUAAAUAGUUAUAAUGUUUCUGUCAAUCUCUAUCUCUCUUUUUUUGUUGCAUCUGAAUUGUGUGUAUUAACUGUAAACGAGCAUCAGUGUACUUUUAAAUAGAAAUAUUUGAUUUCAUGUAAACAAUAGUUGAGAACUGCACAUAUGCAAAGAAUUUGGUAAUUUAAAAUUAAAAAAAAAACCAUAAAAUAAUUUAUAAAGGCUUAUUAAUCAUUUAUUAUGAUUCAUAAACCAAUUUAUUUUAUAAAGAUUUAAAAAUAAGCUACAAAACAAGGAAGAACAGCAAAACAUUACCAGAGAUCACCACAAGGAGGACCCAAAAGCUUCAAGGUAGAGGGAACAUAACCAAAAGCCACACCAAGGAGAACGUAACUGAAGACCGUGAAGAGACACCAUCCAAACUCCACAUCACUUAAGAAACAUGAUCUCCUAAAAGAGCUAUGACCACUAAUGCAUAACAGCAGAAAACAAGAGCACUUUGAUGCAGAAACGAAGAAACGCAGCAGGAGAAACGAGCAUUAGUCACCAUCAUUGACCAUCUGAAAAAUGACGCACCAGAGUCGAUGGAAGAAUUACCACCCACAUCAGAGCCGGCUUAACUUGUAACCUUGCACCAAGAAACAAUUUCGAGACUAAAGAAGUCUUCCAAGCAACCAAUAGAAACCCAGCCACACGCUCUCUCCACAAAGCUCUUCCAAUGCAUCAACAACCUCAA
rnacentral:lncRNA from 1 species